GUGCCAGCAGCCGCGGUAAUACGUAGGGUGCGAGCGUUGUCCGGAAUUAUUGGGCGUAAAGGGCUCGUAGGCGGUCUGUCGCGUCGGGAGUGAAAACGCCGUGCUUAACACGGCGCUUGCUUUCGAUACGGGCAGACUGGAGGCAUGCAGGGGAGAACGGAAUUCCUGGUGUAGCGGUGAAAUGCGCAGAUAUCAGGAGGAACACCGGUGGCGAAGGCGGUUCUCUGGGCAUGUCCUGACGCUGAGGAGCGAAAGUGUGGGGAGCGAACAGGAUUAGAAACCCUCGUAGUCC
rnacentral:rRNA from 1 species